ensembl:snRNA U2 U2 spliceosomal RNA
AUCACUUCUCAGCCUUUUGGCUAAGAUCAAGUGUAGUAUCAAUUGGGGAAAGAGUUGCAUUCUUAUAAAUUUAAUUAAAUACAUGUUUGAAAAGUGAGGCCUUUAUGAAUGUCCUUGCUUUAAAAAUAUCCUUU